rnacentral:rRNA from 1 species
CUACGGAGGGUGCAAGCGUUAUUCGGAAUCACUGGGCGUAAAGGACGCGUAGGCGGGUUGGCAAGUCAGAUGUGAAAUCCUACAGCUUAACUGUAGAACUGCAUUUGAAACUGCUAACCUAGAGUAUGGGAGGGGGAGAUGGAAUUAGUGGUGUAGGGGUAAAAUCCGUAGAUAUCACUAGGAAUACCGAAAGCGAAGGCGAUCUCCUGGAACAUAACUGACGCUAAGGCGUGAAAGCGUGGGGAGCAAACAGGAUUAGAAACCCCAGUAGUCC